UGUCCCUACAUUGGCUCCCUCUGUGGGUUGGUUGAAGAGAGCGGUCCGGUUUUAAAAUGCCGUGACGGGCCGUCCGGAGAAAGUUAGAAGAGAGGUGUGGGAGAAACUACGGCGAAUUUUGGUCCUGGUGAUCAUUGUCAAGUCUUCAGCAGAGGGUGGUUCCUGACAGAUGCGCUGUUUGGAGGAUUGUGUUGGCGGAAGCGGGACACCUGCCCACAAGCCCACAGCACCUGGGAUACAGCCUCAGGAGUGGCUGGAGCUGCUAUCUGAAAGACAGCAACCAGGAUGCAGCCCAGACGUGGCUCUGAAGAGUCCCAGUUCAGAUGAAACCAGUCUGCCGCUGUGAAGCGUCUCUACUGCUUGUUCAUCUAUGAGUGUCCUGAAAAGCUUUCAACUGUCUUAUUUUCUGAGAGUCAGACAAUAUACAAAAUAACCUUAAAAGGUUAGCACUAUGCAGCACAGACAUGUUAUCAGGGUGUUUUAGAAUGGAGAA